UACGGGGGGGGCAAGCGUUGUUCGGAAUUACUGGGCGUAAAGGGCUCGUAAGCGGCCAACUAAGUCGGAUGUGAAAUCCCCAGGCUCAACCUGGGAACUGCAUCCGAUACUGGAUGGCUUGAAUUCGGGAGAGGGAUGCAGAAUUCCAGGUGUAGCGGUGAAAUGCGUAGAUAUCUGGAGGAAUACCGGUGGCGAAGGCGGCAUCCUGGACCGACAUUGACGCUGAGGAGCGAAAGCCAGGGGAGCAAACGGG
rnacentral:rRNA from 1 species